AGCGUACACGGUGGAUGCCCUGGCAGUCAGAGGCGAUGAAGGACGUGCUAAUCUGCGAUAAGCGUCGGUAAGGUGAUAUGAACCGUUAUAACCGGCGAUUUCCGAAUGGGGAAACCCAGUGUGAUUCGUCACACUAUCAUUAACUGAAUCCAUAGGUUAAUGAGGCGAACCGGGGGAACUGAAACAUCUAAGUACCCCGAGGAAAAGAAAUCAACCGAGAUUCCCCCAGUAGCGGCGAGCGAACGGGGAGCAGCCCAGAGCCUGAAUCAGUGUGUGUGUUAGUGGAAGCGUCUGGAAAGGCGCGCGAUACAGGGUGACAGCCCCGUACACAAAAAUGCACAUACUGUGAGCUCGAUGAGUAGGGCGGGACACGUGGUAUCCUGUCUGAAUAUGGGGGGACCAUCCUCCAAGGCUAAAUACUCCUGACUGACCGAUAGUGAACCAGUACCGUGAGGGAAAGGCGAAAAGAACCCCGGCGAGGGGAGUGAAAAAGAACCUGAAACCGUGUACGUACAAGCAGUGGGAGCACAGAGCAAUCUGUGUGACUGCGUACCUUUUGUAUAAUGGGUCAGCGACUUAUAUUCUGUAGCAAGGUUAACCGAAUAGGGGAGCCGAAGGGAAACCGAGUCUUAACUGGGCGUUAAGUUGCAGGGUAUAGACCCGAAACCCGGUGAUCUAGCCAUGGGCAGGUUGAAGGUUGGGUAACACUAACUGGAGGACCGAACCGACUAAUGUUGAAAAAUUAGCGGAUGACUUGUGGCUGGGGGUGAAAGGCCAAUCAAACCGGGAGAUAGCUGGUUCUCCCCGAAAGCUAUUUAGGUAGCGCCUCGUGAAUUCAUCUCCGGGGGUAGAGCACUGUUUCGGCAAGGGGGUCAUCCCGACUUACCAACCCGAUGCAAACUGCGAAUACCGGAGAAUGUUAUCACGGGAGACACACGGCGGGUGCUAACGUCCGUCGUGAAGAGGGAAACAACCCAGACCGCCAGCUAAGGUCCCAAAGUCAUGGUUAAGUGGGAAACGAUGUGGGAAGGCCCAGACAGCCAGGAUGUUGGCUUAGAAGCAGCCAUCAUUUAAAGAAAGCGUAAUAGCUCACUGGUCGAGUCGGCCUGCGCGGAAGAUGUAACGGGGCUAAACCAUGCACCGAAGCUGCGGCAGCGACACUAUGUGUUGUUGGGUAGGGGAGCGUUCUGUAAGCCUGUGAAGGUGUACUGUGAGGUAUGCUGGAGGUAUCAGAAGUGCGAAUGCUGACAUAAGUAACGAUAAAGCGGGUGAAAAGCCCGCUCGCCGGAAGACCAAGGGUUCCUGUCCAACGUUAAUCGGGGCAGGGUGAGUCGACCCCUAAGGCGAGGCCGAAAGGCGUAGUCGAUGGGAAACAGGUUAAUAUUCCUGUACUUGGUGUUACUGCGAAGGGGGGACGGAGAAGGCUAUGUUGGCCGGGCGACGGUUGUCCCGGUUUAAGCGUGUAGGCUGGUUUUCCAGGCAAAUCCGGAAAAUCAAGGCUGAGGCGUGAUGACGAGGCACUACGGUGCUGAAGCAACAAAUGCCCUGCUUCCAGGAAAAGCCUCUAAGCAUCAGGUAACAUCAAAUCGUACCCCAAACCGACACAGGUGGUCAGGUAGAGAAUACCAAGGCGCUUGAGAGAACUCGGGUGAAGGAACUAGGCAAAAUGGUGCCGUAACUUCGGGAGAAGGCACGCUGAUAUGUAGGUGAAGCGACUUGCUCGUGGAGCUGAAAUCAGUCGAAGAUACCAGCUGGCUGCAACUGUUUAUUAAAAACACAGCACUGUGCAAACACGAAAGUGGACGUAUACGGUGUGACGCCUGCCCGGUGCCGGAAGGUUAAUUGAUGGGGUUAGCGGUAACGCGAAGCUCUUGAUCGAAGCCCCGGUAAACGGCGGCCGUAACUAUAACGGUCCUAAGGUAGCGAAAUUCCUUGUCGGGUAAGUUCCGACCUGCACGAAUGGCGUAAUGAUGGCCAGGCUGUCUCCACCCGAGACUCAGUGAAAUUGAACUCGCUGUGAAGAUGCAGUGUACCCGCGGCAAGACGGAAAGACCCCGUGAACCUUUACUAUAGCUUGACACUGAACAUUGAGCCUUGAUGUGUAGGAUAGGUGGGAGGCUUAGAAGUGUGGACGCCAGUCUGCAUGGAGCCGACCUUGAAAUACCACCCUUUAAUGUUUGAUGUUCUAACGUUGGCCCCUGAUCGGGGUUGCGGACAGUGUCUGGUGGGUAGUUUGACUGGGGCGGUCUCCUCCUAAAGAGUAACGGAGGAGCACGAAGGUUGGCUAAUCCUGGUCGGACAUCAGGAGGUUAGUGCAAUGGCAUAAGCCAGCUUGACUGCGAGCGUGACGGCGCGAGCAGGUGCGAAAGCAGGUCAUAGUGAUCCGGUGGUUCUGAAUGGAAGGGCCAUCGCUCAACGGAUAAAAGGUACUCCGGGGAUAACAGGCUGAUACCGCCCAAGAGUUCAUAUCGACGGCGGUGUUUGGCACCUCGAUGUCGGCUCAUCACAUCCUGGGGCUGAAGUAGGUCCCAAGGGUAUGGCUGUUCGCCAUUUAAAGUGGUACGCGAGCUGGGUUUAGAACGUCGUGAGACAGUUCGGUCCCUAUCUGCCGUGGGCGCUGGAGAACUGAGGGGGGCUGCUCCUAGUACGAGAGGACCGGAGUGGACGCAUCACUGGUGUUCGGGUUGUCAUGCCAAUGGCACUGCCCGGUAGCUAAAUGCGGAAGAGAUAAGUGCUGAAAGCAUCUAAGCACGAAACUUGCCCCGAGAUGAGUUCUCCCUGACUCCUUGA
rnacentral:rRNA from 2 species